CCCUUAGAUGUUCUGGGCCGCACACGCGCUACACUGAAGGAGGCAGCGUGUACUCCUGGAUCGAAAGAUUUGGGUAACCCGCGAAUCUCCUUCGUGCUAGGGAUUGAGGUUUGCAAUUAUCCUUCAUGAACGAGGAAUUCCCAGUAAGUGCAAGUCAUAAGCUUGCGCUGACUACGUCCCUGCCCUUUGUACACACCGCCCGUCGCUACUACCGAUUGAAUGAUUUAGUGAGGACUUCGUACUGGGACCGAUGCGGCUUUCGGGCUGCGUCGGUAUUCUGGAAAGAUGUCCAAACUGUAUCAUUUAGAGGAAGUAAAAGUCGUANCA
rnacentral:rRNA from 1 species